rnacentral:rRNA from 1 species
GAUGAACGCUGGCGGCGUGCCUAAUACAUGCAAGUCGAGCGAACGGACGAGAAGCUUGCUUCUCUGAUGUUAGCGGCGGACGGGUGAGUAACACGUGGAUAACCUACCUAUAAGACUGGGAUAACUUCGGGAAACCGUAGCUAAUACCGGAUAAUAUUUUGAACCGCAUGGUUCAAAAGUGAAAGACGGUCUUGCUGUCACUUAGAGAUGGAUCCGCGCUGCAUUAGCUAGUUGGUAAGGUAACGGCUUACCAAGGCAACGAUGCAUAGCCGACCUGAGAGGGUGAUCGGCCACACUGGAACUGAGACACGGUCCAGACUCCUACGGGAGGCAGCAGUAGGGAAUCUUCCGCAAUGGGCGAAAGCCUGACGGAGCCACGCCGCGUGAGUGAUGAAGGUCUUCGGAUCGUAAAACUCUGUUAUUAGGGAAGAACAUAUGUGUAAGUAACUGUGCACAUCUUGACGGUACCUAAUCAGAAAGCCCCGGCUAACUACGUG